rnacentral:rRNA from 1 species
UACAGAGGGUGCGAGCGUUAAUCGGAAUUACUGGGCGUAAAGCGCACGUAGGCGGCUUGGUAUGUCGGGUGUGAAAUCCCCGGGCUCAACCUGGGAAUGGCGAUGAAGACUGCAAGGCUAGAGUUUGGCAGAGGGGGGUAGAAUUCCACGUGUAGCAGUGAAAUGCGUAGAGAUGUGGAGGAACACCGAUGGCGAAGGCAGCCCCCUGGGUCAAAACUGACGCUCAUGCACGAAAGCGUGGGGAGCAAACAGG